rnacentral:rRNA from 1 species
AACAAACGCUGGCGGCGUGCCUAAUACAUGCAAGUCGAACGGGGAAAGCUUUCGGGUGAGUACUAGUGGCGCACGGGUGAGGAACGCGUGGAUAAUCUGCCUUAGAGUGGGGGAUAACUAGUCGAAAGAUUAGCUAAUACCGCAUAAGACCACGAGAGCUGCGGCUUUUGAGGUCAAAGGUUUUUCGCUCUAAGAUGAGUCCGCGUAAGAUUAGCUAGUUGGUGAGGUAACGGCUCACCAAGGCGACGAUCUUUAACUGGUCUGAGAGGAUGAUCAGUCACACUGGAACUGAGACACGGUCCAGACUCCUACGGGAGGCAGCAGUAGGGAAUAUUGCACAAUGGAGGAAACUCUGAUGCAGCGACGCCGCGUGAGUGAUGAAGGCCUUCGGGUCUUAAAGCUCUGUCGCAGGGGAAUAACACAAUGAAGGUACCCUGUAAGAAAGGAUCGGCUAACUUCGUG